UUUCUGCGUCGGACCGUGUACAAGUCCCUUGGAACGGGGCGUCGUAGAGGGUGAGAAUCCCGUCUUUGACACGGACCGCCGACGCUUUGUGAUGCGCUCUCAAAGAGUCGAGUUGUUUGGGAAUGCAGCUCAAAACGGGUGGUAAAUUCCAUCUAAAGCUAAAUAUGGGCGAAAGACCGAUAGCGAACAAGUACCGUGAGGGAAAGAUGAAAAGCACUUUGGAAAGAGAGUUAAACAGUACGUGAAAUUGUUGAAAGGGAAACGCUUGAAGUCAGUCGCGUCUCCCGGGACUCAGCCUAGCCUUUUCGCCUGGCGUAUUUCCUGGGGCGACGGGCCAGCAUCGAUUUCGACCGUCGGAGAAGGGCUUUGGGAACGUGGCACCUUCGGGUGUGUUAUAGCCCUCGGUCGCAUGCGACGGUCGGGAUCGAGGAUCGCAGCACGCCUUUUUGGCCGGGGU
rnacentral:rRNA from 1 species